rnacentral:tRNA from 1 species
GGAAUCGAACCCGGGGCCCAACGAUGGCAACGUUGGAUUUUACCACUAAACCAC